CUCGCAAGUGAGUUUUGCAGAUGGAGAAAACAGCCAAGCAGUUAGGAAUACCAGCAUNCUGCUGAUCCAUAAACUGUAUGUCUUAAUGCAGAAUCUUGGACCACUGCCUAAUGACAUUACGCUCACCAUGAAAUUGUUCUACUAUAACGAUGUCACACCCCAUGAUUACCAACCCCUUGGCUUUAACAGAUUGUCUACUUUUUGAUGGUGAACCUGUGAACCUAAAAGUUGGAUCUGUCUCCACNAAGUUCCAUGCGAUGAAAGUACGAGUGACAACCGACAGUAAACGGAUGAGGAUGCUGGAAAAAAGUGAGGGUGAAGAGAAUGGNCCCACUGAGAUCUCCCAUCAAGGACUGGACUAUGAUGAAGAGGAGGAGGAUGAAGAGGAGGACAAUGCUAAAAUACAGGCACAGACCGGAUACGGAUUUUAGCCAAGAACAGGCAACUGGCCCAGUAAGGAAGCGGAAGAACUNUGUGCCAGUCAACUGACUUCCUGCAGUUCAGAAAUUAUGAAUACUGUGUGUGUUCAAUUAAUGAAUUCGCAUUGAUGUUAUGCAGAUAAAGAUAAAGUAAAAUGAAUCUACACAUUUGUGUCUUAAUUUGACUUUUGUGUUUAGCUUUCAAACAUGCGUUGCUNGAGACAUGUUCUAUUUUUGUUCAUGAAGGCUCCAUUUUUUUCC
rnacentral:lncRNA from 1 species